GUUCCGUAGGUGAACCUGCGGAAGGAUCAUUAAAGAGAAUAUGCCCUUCGGGGUAGAUCUCCCACCCUUUGUUUAUAUUACCUUUGUUGCUUUGGCAGGCCCGUCUUCGGACCACCGGCUUCGGCUGGUCAGUGCUUGCCAGAGGACCCAAAACUCUUAUUAUUAAUGUCGUCUGAGUACUAUAUAAUAGUUAAAACUUUCAACAACGGAUCUCUUGGUUCUG
rnacentral:misc_RNA from 1 species